rnacentral:rRNA from 1 species
GAUCAUGGCUCAGGAUGAACGCUAGCUACAGGCUUAACACAUGCAAGUCGAGGGGCAGCAUGAACUUAGCUUGCUAAGUUUUGAUGGCGACCGGCGCACGGGUGAGUAACACGUAUCCAACCUGCCGAUGACGUCGGGGAUAGCCUUUCGAAAGAAAGAUUAAUACCCGAUGGCAUAGUUCUUCCGCAUGGUAGAACUAUUAAGGGAUUUCGGUCAUCGAUGGGGAUGCGUUCCAUUUAGG